rnacentral:tRNA from 1 species
GAAGNAUUUCAGCUUUGGGUGCUGAUGGUGGAGCAAGAGCUUCUUCCUUGA